rnacentral:lncRNA from 1 species
GCUUAUUUCAUUCUACAUUGCUGUGCUUAACUGAGUUAAAAGCUGCCCGGGACCAUGUUUUUGUUUCUGCCGUAUUUGCAUGCCAUAUGAAUUUAAAACCCUUUGCUUUUUUUUUUCUAUCUUUCUUCCUUUUUUAGGGGGUGGGGUGUUCUGCAUUUUUAUUGCAUUUUCCCCAUUCCUAUUCAUUCCUUAUCUUAGGAUUUCUCAUCCUCUGAAGCACGAGAGUAGCUACCGCGAGCUCACCUACUGCUGCUACAUGGGACUGCCUGCAGCGGGCACGAGGCUUAGACAUUAUGGGGACAAUUCAGGUUCUGCCUGGCAUACUGCAGAAGCAUUGCUGUAUUUUACCUGACCGGAACACAGGUCCAUUGUAUAAGGAGAUGUAGGAGUUAUCCUUAAAAUGCAUCCUUCUGUAACCUGGGAAGUGUCCCAAUUCUGAGUGGAGGAAGCGUAAUGGAAACAGAGUUGUCAGUGACCAUCGUGCUCUUCUCCCACAUUCACUUCAGUUCUACUGUAAUCUCCUUUUUUGUGGAAGGUCUUCAUGAUUACGAAAUUAAGUGUUGUUUUUU